rnacentral:rRNA from 1 species
GUGUCAGCCGCCGCGGUAAUACGGAGGGUGCAAGCGUUAAUCGGAAUUACUGGGCGUAAAGCGCACGCAGGCGGUCUGUCAAGUCGGAUGUGAAAUCCCCGGGCUCAACCUGGGAACUGCAUUCGAAACUGGCAGGCUAGAGUCUUGUAGAGGGGGGUAGAAUUCCAGGUGUAGCGGUGAAAUGCGUAGAGAUCUGGAGGAAUACCGGUGGCGAAGGCGGCCCCCUGGACAAAGACUGACGCUCAGGUGCGAAAGCGUGGGGAGCAAACAGGAUUAGAUACCCUGGUAGUCCACGCCGUAAACGAUGUCGACUUGGAGGUUGUGCCCUUGAGGCGUGGCUUCCGGAGCUAACGCGUUAAGUCGACCGCCUGGGGAGUACGGCCGCAAGGUUAAAACUUAAAUAAAUUGACGG